ensembl:snoRNA
GGGGUGUACUUAGAGCAGGGGGGCUGCAGAAAUGGCUCCUGUCUUUACAAUACACCCAACAGGAAUGUGGGUUCACUGUGACAAGGGGCACCAAACUUGGGGCUCUCCUACGAACACAUACCCUACAUGU